CUGCACCUAUGAGCCCGAGUUGUUCCCUGCCUUGAUCUACAGAGUGGUUAACCCCAAAUGUGUGGCAUUGAUCUUUGCGUGCGGUCGAGUCAUUUUGACCGGCGCCAGAACUAUUGAUGAUAUCAA
rnacentral:ribozyme from 1 species